GUGAGCAUUGCAUAGUAGCCUUUGUUUGUUGUGGCAGUGGAGGCGGGGCCCAUUGACCAAGCAGUGGCUAAUCGGAGCGCGAGGUCCAUUGUCAGAGAGCUUUUAGGAGAGGAAAGAACUCAUGUAUCUUCGGCUCUGGAUACUUGCAGAAUGUGUUCGGAAUUCGUUUAAGAAAACAGAUCCAGCAUAUAAGGAUUUCUGGACUAAUAAGAACCCAUCUUUCUAACUGCCUGGCGAGUUGUUGCUGAUGCAUUUUCAUAGGCCAUAUCAAAACAUGUUCCCGAGAGAAUGGCGACACUAUAUGAAUGAAGAGGCAAUUAAUCACUUGUGACAUGAGGCAUUGUGAGUCUCAGACAUAUCUGAAGAGAGGGUAACCUUGGAAUUGCAGCCAGAUCAUGAAGCGUUGGUGCUUGGGGAUGCAGAUGAAGUCUUAACCCCUCCCAGGGCCAGGCAGGUGUGGGAUGUGGUGCACUGUUGUACGAUGCCCUCCCAAUAUUGCACUCGUCCCGGCCUCCCGGACCCAGGGUAUUCCAUCUUUAACAGAGGAGCUCAGAAAUGUUGUUUUUCCUCAUUAUGUUCUCUCCAUAAACGUGUGGAAGAGCACUGUGAUAUGUACUUCACAACUUUGUUCUCACUUAAAAAUAUAUUUUUUACAGCACAUUUAUUUAGAGAUACAUACUUUUUUUUUUUUUUACUAUGUCAUUGGCCAUAUUAACCCAAUUCAUUCUUGCUAUUCACAACAUGUGGCCUGCUAUGGGAGAAACCCAGUGAAUUUAUUCUAUACAGUUGGUAAGCCUCUGCUUCCAAACGGUCCCACUGUCCGCACCUGACACUGGCUGGCUAGCUGCCACGUGAGGACCUUUGCCAACUCCACUAAGUCAUUCUCUUCCCUCUGCCCUUGUGGCUUCAUUCUGAAAGUUCCCACAUAUUAGGAUAGGAAGCAGUAUUGCACAAACUCUGUAUGGCCAACAAGACGUAGGAUGACAAAUGCCUAUUAUAUUGCAUCUGUUCAUACCUGAGAGCGAGUUAGUGAGGAUAGAGCAAAGAGAAUGAAUGAACCGAUUGAAAUCCUCCCACAGUAGUCAGGGGUCAAUAGCAGGACAUCUUCAGCUUAAUAGAAUAAUGCUUCAAAACUCCAUUCUAGAUGGAAUCCAAAUUAAUUUUCAAGUCUGUCCUCAGCAGGGUAACUCUUUUUUAUGUUAUUACACAUGUGGAAUGGGAAGAGGCUUUAUUUCACUUAUGUGGUAACGAAAAUGCUCAACUCCAUUACAAAGCAAGUUACAAUGUAACAACAU